GACGAACGCUGGCGGCGUGCUUAACACAUGCAAGUCGAGCGGUAAGGCCCUUUCGGGGGUACACGAGCGGCGAACGGGUGAGUAACACGUGGGUGACCUGCCCUCAGCUCUGGGAUAAGCCUGGGAAACCGGGUCUAAUACUGGAUAUGACUCCAUGACGCAUGUUGUGGGGUGGAAAGCCUUGUGCGGCUGAGGAUGGGCCCGCGGCCUAUCAGCUUGUUGGUGGGGGAUGGCCUACCAAGGCGACGACGGGUAGCCGGCCUGAGAGGGCGACCGGCCACACUGGGACUGAGACACGGCCCAGACUCCUACGGGAGGCAGCAGUGGGGAAUCUUGCGCAAUGGGCGAAAGCCUGACGCAGCAACGCCGCGUGCGGGAUGAAGGCCCUC
rnacentral:rRNA from 1 species